AACGUAUGUUCUUGAUGGUCCAGUUACUUGGAUACUGUGGUAAUUCUAGAGCUAAUACAUGCAUCAAGGCCCCACUUUGGGGGAGGGGCUUUUUUUAUAUAAAAACAACCCACCCUGGGUUGUCCCGCUUGGUGACUCUGAAUAAAUUUGGGAAGAUCCUGAGGCCUUGCCCCCGAGACAUCUUUGAAGUGUGUGAGCCCUAACCUCUGUAGGGUGGGGUAUAGGCCCCCCCCGGGUUUUUGAGGGAAAAGGGAAAAUGGGGUUGCUUUUCCAGAGGGGGACCCUAAAACGGCGCCACCAUCUCUAAAGGGCGGAAGGGGCGCAAAUUUUCCAUUCUGACCUCAGGGGGGGGGUGAGAAAAAAAAUAAAUAUAGGGGUCUUAUCCUAGGCCUGCGGAUUGAAAGGAGUACCUUU
rnacentral:rRNA from 1 species